rnacentral:rRNA from 1 species
AGAGUUUGAUCCUGGCUCAGAAUCAACGCUGGCGGCGCGCUUAACACAUGCAAGUCGAACGAGAAAGGGAGCAAUCCUGAGUAAAGUGGCGCACUGGUGAGUAACACGUGGGUAAUUUACCUUCUUGUGGGGAAUAACCCUGGGAAACUAGGGCUAAUACCGCAUACGUCCGAGAGGAGAAAGCCGCAAGGCGCAGGAAGAGAAGCCCGCGGCCGAUUAGCUAGUUGGUGAGGUAAUGGCUCACCAAGGCGACGAUCGGUAGCCGGCCUGAGAGGGCACACGGCCACACUGGCACUGAAACACGGGCCAGACUCCUACGGGAGGCAGCAGUGGGGAAUCUUGCACAAUGGGGGAAACCCUGAUGCAGCGACG